rnacentral:rRNA from 1 species
GGGGGGGGGGGGGGGGGGGGCGGGGGGAGGGGGGGGGGGCGGGGGGGGGGGGGUUGCUCGGGGAGUCAGCGGCGGACGGGUGGGUAAUGCCUAGGAAUCUGCCGGGUAGGGGGGGAGACAGGGCGGAGACGGGCGCUAAUACCGCGUACGGCCUGAGGGGGAAAGGGGGGGAUCUGCGGACCCCACGCUAUCAGAUGAGCCUAGGUCGGAUUAGCGAGUUGGUGGGGUAAAGGCCUACCAAGGCGACGAUCCGUAACUGGUCUGCGAGGAUGAUCAGUCACACUGGAACUGAGACACGGUCCAGACUCCUACGGGAGGCAGCAGUGGGGAAUAUUGGACAAUGGGCGAAAGCCUGAUCCAGCCAUGCCGCGUGUGUGAAGAAGGUCUUCGGAUUGUAAAGCACUUUAAGUUGGGAGGAAGGGCAGUAAGUUAAUACCUUGCUGUUUUGACGUUACCAACAGAAUAAGCACCGGCUAACUUCGUG